rnacentral:rRNA from 1 species
AGCAGGCGCGCAAAUUACCCAAUCCUGACACAGGGAGGUAGUGACAAUAAAUAACGAUACAGGGCCUCUGGUCUUGUAAUCGGAAUGAGAACAAUUUAAACCACUUAUCGAGGAACAAUUGGAGGGCAAGUCUGGUGCCAGCAGCCGCGGUAAUUCCAGCUCCAAUAGCGUAUGUUAAAGUUGUUGCAGUUAAAAAGCUCGUAGUUGAACCUCGUGCAGCGGGCGGGUCCACCGACAGGUGGCACUCGGCUGCUGCACUUGCCCGCACCCCUUCGGGCGGUGGGGCCUUUACUGUGAGAAAAUUAGAGUGUUCAAAGCAGGCUUGUGCCGGAAUACGUUAGCAUGGAAUAAUAGAAUAGGACGAAGGUUCUAUUUUGUUGGUUCUAGGACCGUCGUAAUGAUUAAUAGGGAUGGUCGGGGGCAUCAGUACUCCGUAGUCAGAGGUGAAAUUCUUGGAUUUACGGAAGACUAACUGCUGCGAAAGCGUUUGCCAAGGACAUCUUCACUAAUCAAGAACGAAAGUUAGGGGAUCGAAGACGCUUAGAUACCGUCGUAGUCUUAACCGUAAACUAUGCCGACUCAGAAUCCCGCCGCCGAAUUGUAGCGGC